rnacentral:rRNA from 1 species
UACGAAGGGGGGCUAGCGUUGCUCGGAAUGACUGGGCGUAAAGGGCGCGUAGGCGGUUCAUACAGUCAGAUGUGAAAUUCCCGGGCUUAACCUGGGGGGCUGCAUUUGAUACGUGUGGGCUUGAGUGAGGAAGAGGGUUGUGGAAUUCCCAGUGUAGAGGUGAAAUUCGUAGAUAUUGGGAAGAACACCGGUGGCGAAGGCGGCAACCUGGUCCUUUACUGACGCUGAGGAGCGAAAGCGUGGGGAGCGAACAGG